rnacentral:lncRNA from 1 species
AAAAAGCGUGUUUUCCUGUUAGACUGUUGGUAAAGUCUUUUUUGUGUCCAAACAUGUUAAACUUUGUAAAAUAAAUUUUUUAAAAAAUGAGUCACAUUUAAAACCUUAAGGCUGCUGCACGUUGUUCAGAUAUGUUCCUUUUGCAUUUUUGGCCUCCGUAGAUUUCCAUCAAGAAAAGUGGAUCUAUGUUCACAAAGGAAGUACUAAAGAGCGCCAUGGCUACUGCACCUUGGGGGAAGCUUUCAACAGGCUGGACUUCUCGACCGCCAUACUGGAUUCCAGAAGAUUCAACUACGUAGUCAGGGUGAGUCUCAAAAGCCCAAGCUUGCCCAGACUCUUGAACUGGAUUGUUAACAUCCAUGUUGUCUGGAGGGGUCUUGGCAAUGGUGGCAGAGCACGCCUUCAGUCCCAGCAUGCAGGAGGCAGAGGCAGGCGGAUCUCUGAG